rnacentral:rRNA from 1 species
UACGUAGGGGGCUAGCGUUGUCCGGAAUCAUUGGGCGUAAAGAGCGUGUAGGCGGUCCGGUAAGUCCGCUGUGAAAGUCGGGGGCUCAACCCUCGAAUGCCGGUGGAUACUGUCGGGCUAGAGUGCGGAAGAGGCGAGUGGAAUUCCUGGUGUAGCGGUGAAAUGCGCAGAUAUCAGGAGGAACACCGGUGGUGUAGACGGCUUACUGGACCAUAACUGACGCUGAGACACGAAAGCGUGGGUAGAAAGCAGG